CCUACGGGAGGCUGCAGUGGGGAAUAUUGCACAAUGGGCGCAAGCCUGAUGCAGCCAUGCCGCGUGUGUGAAGAAGGCCUUCGGGUUGUAAAGCACUUUCAGCGGGGAGGAAGGCGGUGAGGUUAAUAACCUCACCGAUUGACGUUACCCGCAGAAGAAGCACCGGCUAACUCCGUGCCAGCAGCCGCGGUAAUACGGAGGGUGCAAGCGUUAAUCGGAAUUACUGGGCGUAAAGCGCACGCAGGCGGUCUGUCAAGUCGGAUGUGAAAUCCCCGGGCUCAACCUGGGAACUGCAUUCGAAACUGGCAGGCUAGAGUCUUGUAGAGGGGGGUAGAAUUCCAGGUGUAGCGGUGAAAUGCGUAGAGAUCUGGAGGAAUACCGGUGGCGAAGGCGGCCCCCUGGACAAAGACUGACGCUCAGGUGCGAAAGCGUGGGGAGCAAACAGGAUUAGAUACCCUAGUAGUC
rnacentral:rRNA from 1 species